GACGUAGGGCGCGAGCGUUGUCCGGAUUUAUUGGGCGUAAAGAGCUCGUAGGCGGCUUGUUGCGUCAGCUGUGAAAACCCGCAGCUCAACUGUGGGCUUGCAGCUGAUACGGGCAGGCUUGAGUUCGGUAGGGGAGACUGGAAUUCCUGGUGUAGCGGUGAAAUGCGCAGAUAUCAAGAGGAACACCUGCGGCGAAGGCGGGUUGCUGGGCCGACACUGACGCUGAGGCGCGAAAGCUAGGGGAGCGAACGGG
rnacentral:rRNA from 1 species